UACGUAGGGGGCAAGCGUUGUCCGGAUUUAUUGGGCGUAAAGCGUGCGCAGGCGGUUUUGUAAGCCAGAUGUGAAAUCCCCGGGCUCAACCUGGGAAUGGCAUUUGGGACUGCAAGGCUGGAGUUUGGCAGAGGAGACUGGAAUUCCUGGUGUAGCAGUGAAAUGCGUAGAUAUCAGGAGGAAUACCGAUGGCGAAGGCAGGUCUCUGGGCUAUAACUGACGCUCAUGCACGAAAGCGUGGGGAGCGAACGGG
rnacentral:rRNA from 1 species